rnacentral:rRNA from 1 species
GAUGAACGCCGGCGGUGUGCCUAAUACAUGCAAGUCGUACGCACUGGCCCAACUGAUUGAUGGUGCUUGCACCUGAUUGACGAUGGAUCACCAGUGAGUGGCGGACGGGUGAGUAACACGUAGGUAACCUGCCCCGGAGCGGGGGAUAACAUUUGGAAACAGAUGCUAAUACCGCAUAACAACAAAAGCCACAUGGCUUUUGUUUGAAAGAUGGCUUUGGCUAUCACUCUGGGAUGGACCUGCGGUGCAUUAGCUAGUUGGUAAGGCAACGGCUUACCAAGGCGAUGAUGCAUAGCCGAGUUGAGAGACUGAUCGGCCACAAUGGAACUGAGACACGGUCCAUACUCCUACGGGAGGCAGCAGUAGGGAAUCUUCCACAAUGGGCGCAAGCCUGAUGGAGCAACACCGCGUGAGUGAAGAAGGGUUUCGGCUCGUAAAGCUCUGUUGUUGGAGAAGAACGUGCGUGAGAGU